UUAACUCAAAUUUGUAUGUGGAACGUUUGUCGCUAGGGGCGCUGUUCCAACUGCAUACAAAUUUGAGUUA
rnacentral:pre_miRNA from 1 species